UACGGAAGGCAGCAGUGGGGAAUAUUGCACAAUGGGCGAAAGCCUGAUGCAGCUAUGCCGCGUGUAUGAAGAAGGCCUUAGGGUUGUAAAGUACUUUCAUCGGGGAGGAAAAAACAAAACUAAUAAUUUUAUUUCUUGACGUUACCCGAAAAAGAAGCACCGGCUAACUCCGUGCCAGCAGCCGCGGUAAUACGGAGGGUGCUAGCGUUAAUCAGAAUUACUGGGCGUAAAGAGCACGUAGGUGGUUUUUUAAGUCAGAUGUGAAAUCCCUGGGCUUAACCUAGGAACUGCAUUUUGAAACUGAAAUACUAGAGUAUCGUAGAGGGAGGUAGAAUUCUAGGUGUAGCGGUGAAAUGCGUAGAUAUCUGGAGGAGUACCUGUGGCGAAAGCGGCCUCCUAAACGAAUACUGACACUGAGGUGCGAAAGCGUGGGGAGCAAACAGGGAUUAGAUACC
rnacentral:rRNA from 1 species